AGAACAUUGUUCUUGCCUCGUGUAACCGGAUCCACACACUGGAGAUGGAGGCAGCCGAAAGAUAAGGUGUCAGCUCCUAGGACAGAUGUCCCGCCACUAGCUAUCCCAGAAGACAGAAGCCCUAACAGAGGAUUUGGAGCCAAGGUGCAAAGGAAAUGGAUUAACGAGGGACAGAGAGAGGCCUCCAACCAUGGUACACAGCCGAUUUCCCAGCUCCCCAGGCGCAGCGAGAAC